rnacentral:rRNA from 1 species
AGCGAACGCUGGCGGCAGGCCUAACACAUGCAAGUCGAGCGGCCCCUCGGGGCAGCGGCGGACGGGUGAGUAACGCGCGGCAACGGGCCCUUUGGUCCGGAACAACUGAGCGAAACUUCAGCUCAACACGUAUCUGCCCCAACGCGGAAAGAUUUAUCUCAAUGUGAGCGGGCAGGGUUAGAUUAGCUAGUUGGUAGGGUAAUGGCCGACGAAGGCGACGAUCGAUAGCUGGUCUGAGAGGAUGAACAGCCACACUGGGACUGAGACACGGCCCAGAUUCCUACGGGAGGGAGGAGUGGGGAAUGUUGCGCAAUGGGCGAAAGCCUGACGCAACGAUGCGGGGUGAAUGAUGAAGGUCUUAGGAUUGUAAAUUUCUUUUAUCAGGGACGAUAAUGACGGUACCUGGAGAAAAAGCCCCGGCUAACUUCGUGCCAGCCGCCGCCGUAAUAC